rnacentral:rRNA from 1 species
GACGAACGCUGGCGGCGUGCCUAAUACAUGCAAGUAGACCGCAGUUUCGAACGGGUGAGUAACGCGUAGGUAACUGCCUGGUAGCGGGGGAUAACUAUUGUAAACGCUAGCUAAUACCUCAUACUACCAGAUGGACCUGCUUUGUAUUAGCUAGUUGGUGAGGUAACGGCUCACCAAGGCAACGAUACAUAGCCGACCCGGGAGGGUGGUGGGGCAAGCUGGGAAUGGGAAAAGGGCCAGAAGCCUACGGGAGGGGGCAAUAGGGAAGCAUCGGGAAUGGGGGGAAGCUUGAACAAGCAAUGAUGGGUGAGUGAGGAAGGUAUUCGGGUCGUAAAGCUCUGUUGUUAAGGAAGCGGUACUUAACCAGAAAGGGACGGCUAACUACGUGCCAGCAGCCGCGGUAAUUC